CCUACGGGGGGCAGCAGUGGGGAAUAUUGCACGAUGGGCGCAAGCCUGAUGCAGCCAUGCCGCGUGUGUGAAGAAGGCCUUCGGGUUGUAAAGCACUUUCAGCGGGGAGGAAGGCGUUAAGGUUAAUAACCUUGGCGAUUGACGUUACCCGCAGAAGAAGCACCGGCUAACUCCGUGCCAGCAGCCGCGGUAAUACGGAGGGUGCAAGCGUUAAUCGGAAUUACUGGGCGUAAAGCGCACGCAGGCGGUCUGUCAAGUCGGAUGUGAAAUCCCCGGGCUCAACCUGGGAACUGCAUUCGAAACUGGCAGGCUAGAGUCUUGUAGAGGGGGGUAGAACUCCAGGUGUAGCGGUGAAAUGCGUAGAGAUCUGGAGGAAUACCGGUGGCGAAGGCGGCCCCCUGGACAAAGACUGACGCUCAGGUGCGAAAGCGUGGGGAGCAAACAGGAUUAGAUACCCCUGUAGUC
rnacentral:rRNA from 1 species